rnacentral:rRNA from 1 species
GGAAGUAAAAGUCGUAACAAGGUUUCCGUAGGUGAACCUGCGGAAGGAUCAUUACCGAGUGAGGGCCCUCUGGGUCCAACCUCCCACCCGUGUUUAUUUUACCUUGUUGCUUCGGCGGGCCCGCCUUAACUGGCCGCCGGGGGGCUUACGCCCCCGGGCCCGCGCCCGCCGAAGACACCCUCGAACUCUGUCUGAAGAUUGUAGUCUGAGUGAAAAUAUAAAUUAUUUAAAACUUUCAACAACGGAUCUCUUGGUUCCGGCAUCGAUGAAGAACGCAGCGAAAUGCGAUACGUAAUGUGAAUUGCAAAUUCAGUGAAUCAUCGAGUCUUUGAACGCACAUUGCGCCCCCUGGUAUUCCGGGGGGCAUGCCUGUCCGAGCGUCAUUUCUGCCCUCAAGCACGGCUUGUGUGUUGGGCCCCGUCCUCCGAUCCCGGGGGACGGGCCCGAAAGGCAGCGGCGGCACCGCGUCCGGUCCUCGAGCGUAUGGGGCUUUGUCACCCGCUCUGUAGGCCCGGCCGGCGCUUGCCGAUCAACCCAAAUUUUUAUCCAGGUUGACCUCGGAUCAGGUAGGGAUACCCGCUGAACUUAAGCAUAUCAAU